GGACUAAUGAUUGCAUGCUUGUAGGAGGUGGGAUAUUUGCAUUGAACUAUGCUUGCAACCACAAUAUCGUGGACCACUGGUGCUAAUUCUUCUGCGUACCGUUUAAGACACCAUGCAGGGAUAUUAUCCGACCCAGUGGCUUUCCUAGGAUUUAGGUGUUUUAGGACGGUUUUGACUUGGCCAAUGGAUGGUAGAGGUGGGUGGCUGUCCUUGAGCAAAUGCUCUACCGCU